CACCCCCUGCCCCCCCAUUCCUUACCACACUCCCAUAGAACAUAUUCUUGCAUUUCUUUAUUUUUUUAUAAACACAUCAUACAGGAACAGGUAAUUGUAAUGCCAUUGGGGAGAACCCGCUCAGCACAACCGAAUUCUAAUGACGUCGAAAAUAACCGACAUGUUCUCUUGCGUCUGAACAUUCUGUCACAUUCCCGUCUGGGUCUUGGUCAUAGUCAGAAUGCAACCGGAAGGGACCAGCUUGGUUAUCAAUAAAUCCUCAACCUUCUCAGCGACGAUGAGCUGUAGGUCUAAGAAUGCAAGCUCAUACUCAACCUUGUAGUUGAAGCAACAUUUUACUUCCAACGAAAUCGGGCUGCUAACCUUGUGAAACACCAGAGCAUACCUCCCUGACGUCUCCGUAAUCCACCCAGCGAAAGCGGCAGCCCACUUCUCCCAUCUUGCUGGGGAAGCUGUCACGGAGAUGUGUCAUUUGGGUCUGCUCAGCUGCAAGGCACACUGGGAUCUUGGCAGUGUGGGGAGAGAAAUGGAGGCACUAAUCAGAUGACUGGAUACGACAGAGGAGGUUACCAAGGACGACUAGCAUCCAAACUGAAGUAUAAAGGACCACGCAAUACUCCCUUCCAAUACCUGUCAUCUCUAAAUGCCUGGGGAUACUUUUGUCUACACCCCAGGUAGAAGGGAGUUCAGCCACAUGUGACAAUUUAAGAGUCUGAAGUCACUGAAGGGGACUGUGGUAUCAGCUAAGGAAGUAGAAUCCUCGUCUUUUCAGUCCAAAGUCUGGACUCCCAGAUCCUUUAGACAAAUGGACAUUAGAUGUCAGGUUACCUAGACAAAUGUACAGGGGAAAAGCACAGACACAGUAAAUCCUAUCAGAGACGUG